UAUUUUUCAAUUUCACCCCUCUUUUCUCUCUUUUACAAAGUCGCGUCCGGUAGUUAAUUCCGGUUCUCCCCCAAACUCGACUAGGCGGAAAACCCUAGCUCCGAUCAGCCUCUCCGGCGGACAGAAGUCUUCCAAACUUUGGGAAGACAUCACAUUGCUGUUGGCGACGCCUCCUGUACAGUUUUUAAUAUGGUAUCAUCGGUACACGCUCCUGGCGACCUUCCUCUGGCCAACAGGCCACACACUUCCGCACAUUCACCGGCCGAUCGUCCGGCCAUCUCGUCUGCUCGGCCAAGCAAUCCAAUCAUAACGCCGGCAGCAUCACAGCACUCUUCGUCUGGUUCAACAGGAAAAUCAAAGGCAAAUGAUCUUGAAGGAG
rnacentral:lncRNA from 1 species